rnacentral:rRNA from 1 species
UACGUAGGGUGCAAGCGUUGUCCGGAAUUAUUGGGCGUAAAGAGCUCGUAGGCGGUCUGUCACGUCGGCUGUGAAAACCCGAGGCUCAACCUCGGGCCUGCAGUCGAUACGGGCAGACUAGAGUUCGGUAGGGGAGACUGGAAUUCCUGGUGUAGCGGUGAAAUGCGCAGAUAUCAGGAGGAACACCGGUGGCGAAGGCGGGUCUCUGGGCCGAAACUGACGCUGAGGAGCGAAAGCGUGGGGAGCAAACAGG